rnacentral:rRNA from 1 species
CCUACGGGAGGCAGCAGUGAGGAAUAUUGGUCAAUGGGCGCGAGCCUGAACCAGCCAAGUCGCGUGAGGGAAGACGGUCCUAUGGAUUGUAAACCUCUUUUGUCGGGGAGCAAAAGACGCCACGCGUGGCGUUCCGAGAGUACCCGAAGAAAAAGCCUCGGCUAACUCCGUGCCAGCAGCCGCGGUAAUACGGAGGAUGCGAGCGGUAUCCGGAUUUAUUGGGUUUAAGGGGUGCGCAGGCGGAAGAUCAACUCAGCGGUAAAAUUGAGAGGCUCAACCUCUUCGAGCCGUUGAAACGGGUUUUCGUGAGUGAGUGAGAAGUAUGCGGAAUGCGUGGUGUAGCGGUGAAAUGCAGAGAUAUCACGCAGAACUCCGAUUGCGAAGGCAGCAUACCGGCGCUCAACUGACGCUCAUGCACGAAAGUGUGGGUAUCGAACAGGAUGAGAUACCCCAGUAGUC